AGAAGCAGCAGCAGCAGCAGGACGGCGGCAAGCGCGGCAUCUCCCGGAGCGAGGCGCCGUCGUUCGCGUCGGCGUCCUCCUCCUCCACCACCUCGUCCUCCUCCGAGGACGCGCUGCCGCGGGCGUCGACGCCGCGGUCGGUGCUGCCCGCGGAGAUCUCGCGGCGGGAGCUGGAGGCCGUGCUCCGGCGGCUGGGCCACGAGGAGCCCUCCGACGACGAGCUCGACGCCGUGGCGGCCAUCGCCGCCGCCGGGGAGGCCGGCCCCGAGGACGAGCUGAUGGAGGCGUUCAACGUGUUCGACGCCGACGGCGACGGCCGCAUCACCGCCGAGGAGCUCCGCGGCGUGCUGCUCGCCAUCCUCGGCGGCGAGGCGGACGGGUGCAGCCUCGACGACUGCCGCCGCAUGAUCGGCGGCGUCGACGCCGACGGCGACGGCUUCGUCGGCUUCCAGGACUUCGCGCGCAUGAUGAUGGUGUCCACCACGGCGGCGGCGGCCACCACCUCGGCCGGCCCGAGAUUCCUCUGAACUAGCCCGUCGAUGGAUCCGCUACGCCAGGCUCCUCCUCCUCUGUUCCCGCUCUGUUCUGCUCGCCCCCGCCGAUUAGAUUAGAUUAGAUUAGAUGCGCGAGCGAUAUUAUCCUAGGAAAGGAAACCCGGCACCCAACAGCUGUCAACAGAGCUCCAGAUACUAUAACGGUGGCUGAUUUAUUCUCGCUUAUUUUUAGACAGGUUCCCGUUUAUGUUUGGAUUCCACCAUCAUCACUGGCUAUUUCGGGGAAGCACAUCGCAUCGCACCAGUUAAUGGAGUUGCACAAAUGGGGAGGGCGGUGCACGCGAUGCUACGCUGCCAGGGCCUUCACUUGCCAAUGCUUCAUUCUCAUGGAAAUUCCGACAAGUCUUCUCAGUGUAAUUGCAGAUGAAUUAUGUAAGCCAAGAACCCAAAAAAAAAAAAAAACUGUCGAGUUCGAGUUAUGGUAAUGAACUAAUGAUAUUGAUUCAC
rnacentral:lncRNA from 1 species